UUUUCACACUAUUUACACUUGAAUCUACAUCUUCAACACCUCACUGGAGACAUUCCAGGUGCCAGCAUGCUUGAAGGUCUCCACCACCAUCCCCAUCCCC